UACGUAGGGGGCCAGCGUUGUUCGGAAUUACUGGGUGUAAAGGGUUCGUAGGCGGUGCGGUAAGUUGGUUGUGAAAUCUCUGGGCUUAACCCAGAGGCUGCUUCCAAAACUGCUGUGCUUGAGUGUGGGAGAGGCGCGUGGAAUUGCAGGUGUAGCGGUGAAAUGCGUAGAUAUCUGCAGGAACACCCGUGGCGAAAGCGGCGCGCUGGACCACUACUGACGCUGAGGAACGAAAGCUAGGGGAGCAAACAGG
rnacentral:rRNA from 1 species